AUGAAUAAAUAAAUAUUGGAUCGACAACUAUAAAUAUCUUGAACAAAAAGAAUAGAACACAGAAGAAAAGCAAAAGCACCAUCUGCAUAAAGAACCAAGAAUAACAACUGAAUCUCUCUACUUUUAUUAAUUAAUAACAACCAAAUUUAGAUAGAAAAAAAAAACAAUAAGUUUUCUGCAUCAUAAAAAGUAGACCCGAAUGAGGCAAUUCAUCAAGCACUAAACCUGCAUUCGAAACACAAACGAAUAACACUUAAGAGAAAGCGGAUUUCAAAUCAAAAAGUAAAUACAUAAAAUCAACAUUUAAUUCGCCAGUACACCUAAAUUACUCUAGAAAUUCAAAUUUAUUGCUAAUUAAACACUAUAAAAUAUAAAAAAAAAAAAAUCUAAAAACAAAAAUAUGUCGACAAUCAAAUCAAAAUCAAUACCUCUAAUUCGAUUCCAAGAGUCUCAGGCACGGGUCGCACGAUAGAGUGAACGAGCUUGCUAAUUGUUCUGCCUCUAUUUACAAGCUUAACUAUUCUUUUGCUCAAGUCAAUGUGACCUUUUAGCUUGUCACACAGACCAUGACGGCUCGACGCGGCUGACUUUGAUGAUGCUAAGAAUACGACUCUAUAAGAUCUCCAAGAAAAUGAUAAAUCCUUUUGAAGUUGUUGUGCUUGAGAAGGCGAGCAUUUAGGGUUUAGACUUUGAUGAAGUCGAAAGAAAAAACUACAAAAAUUGAGAAAGAGAGAGUGUGUUUUGACCUAGAGCUUCGAUCUUCAACUCAACUGUUUUGCUUCUGGUUCGAUCUAUCAUUAUUCAUUAAGAGGCUAGAGAGGUUGAGCUGCUUGAUCUGUUUCUGCUUUUGGUUUUGGCCUUUGUUUUAUUUUGGUAUUUUGUUUUGUUGAGAUACUGUGUCAGGAAAGAGAGGGAAACGAUUUUGUGAAGAAAGAGAAGAUGAAGACUUAAU
rnacentral:lncRNA from 1 species